CAUAUCAAUAAGCGGAGGAAAAGAAACUAACAAGGAUUCCCCUAGUAACUGCGAGUGAAGCGGGAAAAGCUCAAAUUUAAAAUCUGGCAGCUUUGGUUGUCCGAGUUGUAGUCUGGAGAAGCGUUUUCUGUGCUGGACCGUGUACAAGUCUCUUGGAACAGAGCGUCGUAGAGGGUGAGAAUCCCGUCUUUGACACGGACUGCCAGUGCUUUGUGAUGCGCUCUCAAAGAGUCGAGUUGUUUGGGAAUGCAGCUCAAAAUGGGUGGUAAAUUCCAUCUAAAGCUAAAUAUUGGCGAGAGACCGAUAGCGAACAAGUACCGUGAGGGAAAGAUGAAAAGCACUUUGGAAAGAGAGUUAAACAGUACGUGAAAUUGCUGAAAGGGAAACGCUUGAAGUCAGUCGCGUUGGCCAGAACUCAGCCUGGCUUUUGCCUGGUGCAUUUUCUGGUUGACGGGCCAGCAUCAAUUUUGACCGCUGGAUAAAGGCCUUGGGAAUGUGGCACCUUCGGGUGUGUUAUAGCCCUUGGUUGUAUACAGUGGUUGGGAUUGAGGAUCUCAGCAUGCCUUUAUGGUCGGGGUUCGCCCACGUUCAUGCUUAGGAUGCUGGCGUAAUGGCUUUAAACGACCCGUCUUGAAACACGGACCAAGGAGUCUAACAUGCCUGCGAGUGUUUGGGUGGAAAACCCGAGCGCGUAAUGAAAGUGAAAGUUGGGAUCCCUGUCGUGGGGAGCACCGACGCCCGGACCAGACCUUCUGUGACGGCUCCGCGGUAGAGCAUGUAUGUUGGGACCCGAAAGAUGGUGAACUAUGCCUGAAUAGGGUGAAGCCAGAGGAAACUCUGGUGGAGGCUCGUAGCGAUUCUGACGUGCAAAUCGAUCGUCAAAUUUGGGUAUAGGGGCGAAAGACUAAUCGAACCAUCUAGUAGCUGGUUCCU
rnacentral:rRNA from 1 species